rnacentral:rRNA from 1 species
CAAUAGCGUAUAUUAAAGCUGUUGCGGUUAAAAAGCUCGUAGUUGGAUUUCUGUCAAGGACAACUGGUCCGCCCUCCGGGUGAGCACAUAGUUUGGUCUUGACAUCUUGCUGGAAGCUGUUGCUGCACUUGGCUGUGUGGCGCAGUGUUCAGCACUUUCACUUUGAGGAAAUUGGAGUGUUUCAAGCAGGCACAUGCCUUUGGACACAGUAGGAUGGAAUAAUUAGAUUGGGCUUUUGCUCCAAUUUGUCGGUUUCUGGAGCUGAGGUGAGUAUUAAUGGGGAUUGUUGGGGGCAUCCGAAUUUAGCCGUCAGAGGUGAAAUUCUUGGAUCUGCUAAAGACGGACAACUGCGAAAGCGUUUGCCCAGGAUGUUUNCAUUG